rnacentral:rRNA from 1 species
CUACGGGCGGCUGCAGUGGGGAAUAUUGCACAAUGGGGGAAACUCUGAUGCAGCAACGCCGCGUGGAGGAUGACACUUUUCGGAGCGUAAACUCCUUUUAUAUAGGAAGAAGAUGACGGUACUAUAUGAAUAAGCGCCGGCUAACUCCGUGCCAGCAGCCGCGGUAAUACGGAGGGCGCAAGCGUUACUCGGAAUCACUGGGCGUGAAAGAGCGUGUAGGCGGAUUAAAAAGUCAGAAGUGCAAUCCUAUAGCUUAACUAGAGAACUGCUUCUGAAACUCUUAAUCUAGAAUAUGGGAGAGGUAGAAGGAAUUUCUGGUGUAGGGGUAAAAUCCGUAGAGAUCAGAAGGAAUACCGAUUGCGAAGGCGAUCUACUAGAACAUUAUUGACGCUGAGACGCGAAAGCGUGGGGAGCAAACAGGAUUAGAUACCCCCGUAGUC